CUUAACACAUGCAAGUCGAGGGGCAGCAUUUUAGUUUGCUUGCAAACUGAAGAUGGCGACCGGCGCACGGGUGAGUAACACGUAUCCAACCUGCCGAUAACUCCGGGAUAGCCUUUCGAAAGAAAGAUUAAUACCGGAUAGCAUACGAAUAUCGCAUGAUAUUUUUAUUAAAGAAUUUCGGUUAUCGAUGGGGAUGCGUUCCAUUAGUUUGUUGGCGGGGUAACGGCCCACCAAGACUACGAUGGAUAGGGGUUCUGAGAGGAAGGUCCCCCACAUUGGAACUGAGACACGGUCCAAACUCCUACGGGAGGCAGCAGUGAGGAAUAUUGGUCAAUGGGCGCGAGCCUGAACCAGCCAAGUAGCGUGAAGGAUGAAGGCUCUAUGGGUCGUAAACUUCUUUUAUAUGGGAAUAAAGUUUUCCACGUGUGGAAUUUUGUAUGUACCAUAUGAAUAAGGAUCGGCUAACUCCGUGCCAGCAGCCGCGGUAAUACGGAGGAUCCGAGCGUUAUCCGGAUUUAUUGGGUUUAAAGGGAGCGUAGGUGGAUUGUUAAGUCAGUUGUGAAAGUUUGCGGCUCAACCGUAAAAUUGCAGUUGAAACUGGCAGUCUUGAGUACAGUAGAGGUGGGCGGAAUUCGUGGUGUAGCGGUGAAAUGCUUAGAUAUCACGAAGAACUCCGAUUGCGAAGGCAGCUCACUAGACUGUCACUGACACUGAUGCUCGAAAGUGUGGGUAUCAAACAGGAUUAGAUACCCUGGUAGUCCACACAGUAAACGAUGAAUACUCGCUGUUUGCGAUAUACAGUAAGCGGCCAAGCGAAAGCAUUAAGUAUUCCACCUGGGGAGUACGCCGGCAACGGUGAAACUCAAAGGAAUUGACGGGGGCCCGCACAAGCGGAGGAACAUGUGGUUUAAUUCGAUGAUACGCGAGGAACCUUACCCGGGCUUAAAUUGCAACAGAAUAUAUUGGAAACAGUAUAGCCGUAAGGCUGUUGUGAAGGUGCUGCAUGGUUGUCGUCAGCUCGUGCCGUGAGGUGUCGGCUUAAGUGCCAUAACGAGCGCAACCCUUAUCUUUAGUUACUAACAGGUCAUGCUGAGGACUCUAGAGAGACUGCCGUCGUAAGAUGUGAGGAAGGUGGGGAUGACGUCAAAUCAGCACGGCCCUUACGUCCGGGGCUACACACGUGUUACAAUGGGGGGUACAGAAGGCGGCUACCUGGUGACAGGAUGCUAAUCCCAAAAACCUCUCUCAGUUCGGAUCGAAGUCUGCAACCCGACUUCGUGAAGCUGGAUUCGCUAGUAAUCGCGCAUCAGCCAUGGCGCGGUGAAUACGUUCCCGGGCCUUGUACACACCGCCCGUCAAGCCAUGAAAGCCGGGGGUACCUGAAGUACGUAACCGCAAGGAGCGUCCUAGGGUAAAACUGGUAAUUGGGGCUAAGUCA
rnacentral:rRNA from 1 species